CCGUGCUAGGCGGGGAGGUAGCGGUGCCCUGCACUCGCAAUCCGCUCUAGCGAGGCUGAAAUCCCGCCCGAGGGACUUAGGCCUUCGGGGCCAGUACGCCGGUCGAGGGCGUGGAUGGCCAGGUCCCGCGCGAUGGACGCUCGUGAACCAGGUCAGGUCCGGGAGGAAGCAGCCUUAAGCGAUCCCGUUCAUGCGCCGCGGGGAAGCCUGGCCGGAGCCUUGGGCCGGCGGGAACGCCCGGAGGCGAGCUUCGACGGCGGGUGCACGG
rnacentral:SRP_RNA from 1 species